UACGAAGGGGGCUAGCGUUGUUCGGAAUUACUGGGCGUAAAGCGCGCGCAGGCGGUUCUUCAAGUCAGAGGUGAAAGCCCAGAGCUCAACUCUGGAAUGGCCUUUGAGACUAGAGAACUAGGGUACGGGAGAGGUGAGUGGAAUUCCGAGUGUAGAGGUGAAAUUCGUAGAUAUUCGGAAGAACACCAGUGGCGAAGGCGGCUCACUGGACUGGUAUUGACGCUGAGGUGCGAAAGCGUGGGGAGCAAACAGG
rnacentral:rRNA from 1 species